AGGCCAGGCCCCGCCUCAGAGCCUAGGGAACGCAGUUUACCUUGGCCGAGUCCGUCCCGCCGUUGGCGAAGUCCUGGACUACAUUUCCCGGGACGCCAUGGGGUCACUAUGCCGCAGGGUGACUGCCAAAACCUGCGAGAGCCGCAACAGAAACUUGAGGCUGGGCUGUGUCAAAGAAAAGUUGCACCAAACAAGUUAAACACAUAAGGAGAACGUUAUUAAAGACUAUUGCAAUAAGGAAGAGAGAUUUACCUCAACUUGGUUUGUAACAGUCGCUCGGGGUUUAUAGCCAGUGGGCAGGGUGAUGGAGUCAGUGGAGUCAGCUUGACUAAAGUGUGCUCAUGGAAUCCUUGUCAGCUGAGACUCGCGGAAGCCUCAGGCGCGCUGUCAGGUCCAGGUUCCUCGCCACGGGGAGCUCAGGAUGAAUUGGAGAUAGCUUUUAGCAGCCUCUCUCUCGCUCUCCCUCUGUCUGGACUACAUCUCCCAGAGGCCUCUAGGCUUGGUGCUCCCUCCCGCGAGAAGCAGACCUUCUCCUGAGGAGUGGGCGGGUUUUUCUGGCGGGUAGGGGCAAACAGCCUCUGGGUGCUGUGGGAGCUGCUGGGCUCUUCUAUUUGUUUCAAGUACAGUGGAGCGGCGCUGACCAGACAGACCUGAGGAAUCGUAGCUCUGCUCUACUUGCACAGUCUUCCAGAAUGGAGUAAAGAAUGCCUGUUGACCACCCACAAGGCACCUGCGAGGACCUUCGGACUCUAGUUCUCCUUGGCGGCACCCAUCGCAGCCCAGCCCAAGCUGGGACUGAGAACAGGACGAUGCCACUGUGCCCUCUGGGGCUCUUAGUUCUAGGGCUCAGUCUCUCAGUCAAGUCCGACUCUUUGCGACCCCAUGGACUGUGGCACGCCAGGCUUCCCUGUCCAUCACCAAUUCCCGGAGCUGGGGCUCUUAAACACACUACAAGUCCCAGAAGUCC
rnacentral:lncRNA from 1 species